GCGGAGGGAUCAUUACACAAUACAAUAUGAAGGCUGUGUGACGUUCAUCUUCGCCAGCUGGAUUAUUUUAUUACCCUUGUCUUUUGCGCACUUGUUGUUUCCUGGGCGGGUUCGCCCGCCACCAGGACCACCAUAUAAACCUUUUUUAUGCAGUUGCAAUCAGCGUCAGUAACAAAAUGUAAAUCAUUUACAACUUUCAACAACGGAUCUCUUGGUUCUGGCAUCGAUGAAGAACGCAGCGAAAUGCGAUACGUAGUGUGAAUUGCAGAAUUCAGUGAAUCAUCGAAUCUUUGAACGCACAUUGCGCCCUUUGGUAUUCCAAAGGGCAUGCCUGUUCGAGCGUCAUUUGUACCCUCAAGCUUUGCUUGGUGUUGGGCGUUUUUUUGUCUUUGGGUCCGCCAAAGACUCGCCUUAAAGUGAUUGGCAGCCGGCCUACUGGUUUCGCAGCGCAGCACAUUUUUGCGCUUGCAAUCAGCAAAAGAGGACGGCAAUCCAUCAAGACUCCUUUCUCACGUUUGACCUCGGAUCAGGUAGGGAUACCCGCUGAACCUUAAGCAUACAA
rnacentral:rRNA from 1 species